AACGAACGCUGGCGGCAUGCCUAACACAUGCAAGUCGAACGAGACCUUCGGGUCUAGUGGCGCACGGGUGCGUAACGCGUGGGAACCUGCCCUUAGGUUCGGAAUAACUCCCCGAAAGGGGUGCUAAUACCGGAUAAUGUCUUCGGACCAAAGAUUUAUCGCCUUUGGAUGGGCCCGCGUUGGAUUAGCUAGUUGGUAGGGUAAAAGCCUACCAAGGCGACGAUCCAUAGCUGGUCUGAGGGGAUGAUCAGCCACACUGGGACUGAGACACGGCCCAGACUCCUACGGGAGGCAGCAGUGGGGAAUAGUGGACAAUGGGCGAAAGCCUGAUCCAGCAAUGCCGCGUGAGUGAUGAAGGCCUUAGGGUUGUAAAGCUCUUUUACCCGGGAUGAUAAUGACAGUACCGGGAGAAUAAGCUCCGGCUAACUCCGUG
rnacentral:rRNA from 1 species